rnacentral:lncRNA from 1 species
GGGUGCGACCUCCAGAAUACAUUCUGACGCUUAAGUGAGAAUUUUUCUCUGUAGGUCUUUUAUAAUUCAAUAGUUAGUCAAGAGUCCUUUACCACGAAAGUAAACCCUUAUUUAUAGAGCUUAAAGAUUCUGACCAAUUAAUUUACCUCUUAAUUAUCAUUAAUGCAAACCUUAACCACUUGAUCGUAGUUAUGACAUUAAUUACGCCUUAAUUAUGCUCAUCGGUUGUCGGGGCC